GAUGAACGCUAGCGACAGGCUUAACACAUGCAAGUCGAGGGGCAGCACGGGAGUAGCAAUACAACUGGUGGCGACCGGCGCACGGGUGAGUAACGCGUAUGCAACCUACCUAUCAGAGGGGAAUAACCCGGCGAAAGUCGGACUAAUACCGCAUAAAACAGGGGCACCGCAUGGUGAUAUUUGUUAAAGAAAUUCGCUGAUAGAUGGGCAUGCGUUCCAUUAGGUAGUUGGUGAGGUAAUGGCUCACCAAGCCGACGAUGGAUAGGGGAACUGAGAGGUUGGUCCCCCACACUGGUACUGAGACACGGACCAGACUCCUACGGGAGGCAGCAGUGAGGAAUAUUGGUCAAUGGGCGAGAGCCUGAACCAGCCAAGUCGCGUGAAGGAAGAAGGAUCUAUGGUUCGUAAACUGCUUUUGCAGGGGAAUAAAGUGCGGGACGUGUCCUGUUUUGUAUGUACCCUGAGAAUAAGGAUCGGCUAACUCCGUGCCAGCAGCCGCCGUAAGAC
rnacentral:rRNA from 1 species